rnacentral:rRNA from 1 species
CCUACGGGGUGCAGCAGUGAGGAAUCUUGGUCAAUGGACGAGAGUCUGAACCAGCCAAGUAGCGUGAAGGAUGACUGCCCUAUGGGUUGUAAACUUCUUUUAUAUGGGAAUAAAAUGUUCCACGUGUGGGAUUUUGUAUGUACCAUAUGAAUAAGGAUCGGCUAACUCCGUGCCAGCAGCCGCGUUAAUACGGAGGAUCCGAGCGUUAUCCGGAUUUAUUGGGUUUAAAGGGAGCGUAGGUGGAUUGUUAAGUCAGUUGUGAAAGUUUGCGGCUCAACCGUAAAAUUGCAGUUGAAACUGGCAGUCUUGAGUACAGUAGAGGUGGGCGGAAUUCGUGGUGUAGCGGUGAAAUGCUUAGAUAUCACGAAGAACUCCGAUUGCGAAGGCAGUUCACUGGACUGCAACUGACACUGAGGCUCGAAAGUGUGGGUAUCAAACAGGAUUAGAUACCCCUGUAGUC